UAGGUGAUUUCCAGGAGCAAAAAAAAGGUGAUAGUCAAGGUGCUUGUGAACUGGUGUUAAAAGACAAAUUCUUCAUUGUCAAUCCAGCUACCAUCCUUGUUCAGUUAAACUCUGCAACAGAUCUCCCACAAAGUUGUGUCCUGCUGUUGCUGCUUCUGAAGGAUCAUGGAAUCACAGAAUGGUUUGAGUUGGAAGUGACUUUAAAGCUCAUCUCAUUCCACCCUUGCCAUGAGGAGGGACACCUUCACUAGACCAGGUUGCUUCGUCCUGGCCUUGAAUACUUCUAGGGAUGGAGCACUUCCACGAUGGCUGUUUGACUUCCUUUCCCUGCAAUGGCAAAUGCCUUUGCUGGGGUUCCUCUGCUGAAAUCACACCCUGACCAAAUGUAACACCAACAAAAAUCUGGACUUGUGCCAGACUGCCAUCAUCAGAGCUCAGCCAGCAAACAGUGCUCAGCAAAAGGCAACUAGACAUUGUGUUUGGAGGCCUCAUUUGUGGAGCUGCUGAUGAGGCAUCAGUGACUUUGAUAAUGUCAAGGACUAGAAAGCAAAUGCUUCCACGAUAAAUCUUGUCUACUUUGAAAGGAAGGAGUUUCCCACAUCCCAUAUGCAACAUUUCCCUGAUCUGUCCCUUUCCAAAUUGCAAGCUGCACAACUGUGAGCUGGCAUCAAGACUCUGAGGUAAGCACAAACUGCCUGAAUCCGAGCCCUCCCUGUGGGGCCGCAACCCCAGAGCCCCUGGACAUGGAGCAUAGCUGCAACACCAUGGCUGUGGAUUUCCCUGAAAGGAUGAAGCAGCACGGUGGAAGUCCCGGGGCACUGUCUGAGGAAUUGCCCUCCCUGUGCCGUGCUCUCACCUGGGGACAGCAAGAAUUGUACAGCCCUGUCCCAGAGCUCUAUGCCCAGCCUGCCUGAGCAGUGAGCAAAAUGGGAUCAGUUUAAUUAUAAUUUGAUAUUCCAGCCUUAAACUUUCUGUAAACCAGUGGCUGCUGGACAGGUGAGCUGGACUCCUGUGCCUAAUGUAGAUUGAUAGCAGAUCAGCUUUUCUGUCUCAAUUUGCUUAUGACCUAGAGAAUUAGCAGAGAGGAUCUGUUAUCCUGCCAAUGCACUAAUGGCUUUGGCAAGAGAAGAGCU